rnacentral:rRNA from 1 species
GUAAGUAGAGUUGAUAUAAAGCGAAACUGCGAACGGCUCAUUACAANCAGAUAUAAUCUACUUGUUCUAUUCCUUUAAACGGAUAACUGCGGUAAUUCUGGAGCCAAUACGUGCUAAAAGCUAAAUUCAGUAAUGAGUUUAGUGCAUUUAUCGGUGCAAAAUCAAUCAUUGAAACUUGCUAACUCUAGAUAACCAAGCUUAUCGCAUGACCUUGUGUCGGCGAAAUUACAUUCGAGUAUCUGCCUUAUCAACUAUCGUUGGUAGUGUAUUGGACUACCAUGGUGUUGACGGGUAACGGAGAAUCAGGGUUCGACUCCGGAGAGGGAGCCUUAGAAACGGCUACCAUGUCUAAGGACAGCAGCAGGCGCGCAACUUAUCCACUGUUCAUUUGAACGAGAUAGUGACGAGAAAUAACAAGCCCGUUCUCUUUGAGGUCGGGCAUUGGAAUGGAUGAAAUCUAAACAAUUUCAUGAGUACCCACGAGAGGGCAAGUCUGGUGCCAGCAGCCGCGGUAAUUCCAGCUCUCGUAAUGUAUAGAAUUAUUGUUGCGGUUAAAAAGUUCGUAGUUGGAUUUUCUACUAGUUGUGGGUAGUGCUUAACGGCUCUCACUUACACUAGUUUUUGCACAAGAAGAAGCUUGCUUCUUCCUGUGUGGAUUACUUUGAACGGCUUAAGUGCUCAAGGCGAGUCUUCGGACUGAAUACCGGUGCAUGGAAUAAUGGAACAAGGUUUCGGCCGAGUUUUAUUGGUUUUGUCGGCUAAAACAAUGGUUAACAGGAACAGCUGGGGGCACUCGUAUUGCUGCGCGAGAGGU